rnacentral:rRNA from 1 species
GAUGAACGCUAGCGAUAGGCUUAACACAUGCAAGUCGAGGGGCAGCAUGGUCUUAGCUUGCUAAGACUGAUGGCGACCGGCGCACGGGUGCGUAACGCGCAUGCAACUUGCCUCACAGAGGGGGAUAACCCGUCGAAAGACGGACUAAUACCGCGUACACUUGGGAUAGGGCAUCCUGACCCAAGGAAAUGAAAUUCGCUGUGAGAUAGGCAUGCGUCCCAUUAGCUAGUUGGUGAGGUAACGGCUCACCAAGGCGACGAUGGGUAGGGGAACUGAGAGGUUGAACCCCCACACUGGUACUGAGACACGGACCAGACUCCUACGGGAGGCAGCAGUGAGGAAUAUUGGUCAAUGGGCGAGAGCCUGAACCAGCCAAGUCGCGUGAAGGAUGACUGUCUUAUGGAUUGUAAACUUCUUUUAUACGGGAAUAACAAGAGCCACGUGUGGCUCCCUGCAUGUACCGUAUGAAUAAGCAUCGGCUAACUCCGUG